UGCCCUACUGCAUCAGUGGGCAAAGAGACACUUUGAUGAUGGUGUUACUCUUAUAUCAACCAGGGACAGAGUAGGUUGUAGUCCUUUGUUCAUUCCAGCUUGAUAUCUGGCUUGGUUGCCAAAGCUGUCUUAUGCCCAGGACUCACAC
ensembl:snoRNA LOC120099473 small nucleolar RNA SNORA48